rnacentral:siRNA from 1 species
UGACUUUCGGGUCGUUGUUCCU